GACGAACGCUGGCGGCGUGCUUAACACAUGCAAGUCGAACGGAAAGGCCUGCUUUCCCUUGUGGAUUGCGGGUACUCGAGUGGCGAACGGGUGAGUAACACGUGAGUGAUCUGCCCCCAACUUGGGUAUAAGCCUGGGAAACUGGGUCUAAUUCCCGAUAGGACUGCAGGGUGGUGCCUGUGGUGGAAAACGAUUUUCUAGUGGUUGGAUGAGCUCGCGGCCUAUCAGCUUGUUGGUGGGGUAAUGGCCUACCAAGGCGGCGACGGGUAGCCGGCCUGAGAGGGUGGACGGCCACAUUGGGACUGAGAUACGGCCCAGACUCCUACGGGAGGCAGCAGUGGGGAAUAUUGCACAAUGGGCGGAAGCCUGAUGCAGCGACGCCGCGUGGGGGAUGACGGCCUUCGGGUUGUAAACUCCUUUCGACCGCGAGGAAGCCACCUGGUUGGAAGGGUGGUGACGGUAGUGGUAGAAGAAGCACCGGCUAACUACGUG
rnacentral:rRNA from 1 species